CCGAGUUAGGGUGUCAAAUCUUUGCGCCCGACCUCCAACCCUUUGUCUACCUUACCAAACGUUGCUUCGGCAGGCCCGCUGGGUGUUAAAGCCCGGCCGCCGGGGGUCUCUGACCUCGGGCCCGCGCCUGUCGAUGGCCCCUUCUAAACUAUUGUUAAAACGUGUCGUCUGAGUUAUGAUUAAAACAAAUCAAAAAC
rnacentral:misc_RNA from 1 species